UAGCAAAACAGAGAACAGAGACAUCUCACAGAAGAAUACACGUGAACAUCACCUGAAAGAGAAAUAAACAGACAUGAGGAAUUAAUAACAACAACAACAAUAAUAACCCGGAUUACAUGAGUAGAGGUGCGAUACUGAGCCACUGGUGCAGUCAUUUAUUGAGGAGUAGGGGAUGGAGGCGAUCAAGCGGCAUCUGAAUACUGGAAGGUGCACUGCAUGAAAAGUAGGAUUUUCGUCAGUAAGCGGCACUGUAGAUUGCCGUGGAAGUUCAGGUUUACGACUGCACACGGCAAUUUGCAGGCAACACCGAAAACUGCCGUGAAUUGUCAGAAAUUGACGUGGACCUUGCUUGGCAGUUGUCCCCCCGUGACCCCCCUUCCCCUAAUUCCAGGGGAGGCUUUAACAUGUAAAUUAAAAUACUGUGAGCUAUACAAAUGCAAAUUCUCUCAGAAUCAACUAAUUUUGAGAGAAAUGUCUGCAGGUAUCCAUCUGCUACUUCCAGUCUAUUGAUGGAUAUGACUCUGGAGCAGAGUAUGAUACAAGCCUGCACAAAGUCAAGUUUUUAUAAUUCCUAAGCCAAAGCAAAUGUUGAGUUUAAAUCAGUCAUAAAUCCAGAAUGAAACAUGGUUGUUUUAGGAUACAGAGUGUACUUGAAACCUAAGCAAGAGAUCUCAGGAAAUAAAAUCAACAAAAUCAGUAAAAUCACCUAGAACAAACACAAGCCAAAGUGUCUGUUUUUUUCCCCUUAAUAUAUGUAAUCGCUCAUAAGAUAAAUAAUUUGAUUAUGAACAAUAGCAACAUCAAUUAACAAGACUUGUUAAUAAAAAACAUUAAAGACUUUGCAAUUCACAUUUGCUUUAGGUAGCCUACUGCUAAUUUUAGCUUAAUCUGUCUCUUGUAAUUUGUGUUUAGAAAACAUGGUAGCACACUACAGACACAAUAUGAUACACUAUUGUUGAAAAUAAAUAUUUAUACUUUACUUAAUUUCGUUGACAAGUUUGACAUUCAUUGAAACUAGUGUCCCAUGUUAACGUGGGCGUGGUUUGUGAGCGUGACGUGAGAGCAUGAUAAACUUCCUUAAAACUGCUCCAAAAACGCAGGAACGAACACCGCAUAAUCGAGGCGAUUUAUUACGCAUUAUACAGCUGGUGAAACAUACGUUUUUAAAUCUAUAAUCCGUGGAAUAUCGCAUGUGACGAAUCUGUCGCCGUCUAACAUUUGCUGGAAAUCCAGGUAAAACUAUCUGCGUGCUCGCGCGCGCCCCAGUUAACAUGAUCCCCAGUUAACAUGAUCCCCAGUUGAUCCGUAACACCGGCGAGAAGAAACUGCUGAAUGCUAUCAGUGGGCUGCCGAUGUGAGCAGUUCACUUUAGUAAACUCCAGGUUGCUGUCCAUAGAAGAUAGGUUGGCUGCUUUGGAUUCGAAAAACUGUGUGGAAGAUACUAACUCUAAGAAGAGAAGACGGGUGCACAAUCCUAAAAUUGCGCUGCCUGUAAGACACAUUACGAGACAGUAUGCAGGAGCUUCAGGUACAAACAUCCAGAUCUUGCAUCGCAGGCGGAAGCUGUGAAGCGGUUAGCUCGGAGUCGAGCGAGAAGAAAGAAGCUGCUAGAAGCAAGACCGUGUGCUAGCUGAGGAUGAGGUGGGCCUUUGGAAGUGCGCUACCGUAGACCUGAUGUCUGAUGAGGAAGACUGCAUCGUUGACGGGGUGUCUGGAUGGAUUGCACCGAGCUCUGUGCCACGCUGCAGUCGAGAUUUGAGGCGAUUCCAAAGUAAAGGACAACGCACCACAGACAUCUGUAAAAUGGACUGAAUUCAGACAGAAUGCCGCUAGUUACCUACAGCUCCGAAGCGGAAAACAGACAUUUCAUGGUGCUGUAGGAUUUUGGGCUUCUCGUGAGCUCCCCAUUUGUUGUGUGGGCAGAUCUCCUACGUUUUGUACAUGGUUGUGUGUUUGUGUUUGUGCUAAUAAAGCUCUUUCUUUGAAUAAACA